CGCAGCUCGGAUCCUGCGUUGCCGUGGCUCUGGUGUAGGCUGGUGGCUACAGCUCCAAUUAGACUCCUAGUCUGGGAACCUCCAUAUGCCACGGGAGCGGCCCUAGAAAAGGCAAAAAGACCAAAAAAAAAAAACAAAACAAAAAGAAUAUUUGUUAUUUCAAAUAUAUCUUUUUAAAAAAGAAAUUCCUCGAAGUCACAAAAUAAUGUAAUGUCAUUGGUCUCGAUUCAUAAUAUCGUCCAUUACUUCAAAUUGUAGGGAACAAAUUAAUUUUCACGCUUCUAUAAGAAUAAUUCUAAAUCAUGUUAAGUCCCUAUAGAUACAGGUUUGAAUAUCUAGAGCUUUGGAAUUUAUUCUAUAUAAUAGUUCCUUUUUUCAUAUAAGUUCUCAUUUUCAAAGUUAAAAGUUUUGUAAGAUCAAAAUAGUUUUAGGCCACAGCAGUAAGCAAAAUGAAACACAUAUGGUACGUGACCAUUUUUCUCCAUUUAACAGGUCAAAGUGAGGCAAGACGCAGCUUUAUCUGCCCAAAGAGAGAUUCAUCCACUUAGACAGAAGAGCUGAUAGGAUGACAUCAAUCUUUACAUCGGAUGCUUCCAUCAUGCCAUUCUUAUUCUGCUCCAAUGUCCACUUUAAGAGGACCGAGUAUGUGAGGAUAAUGUAUUCAUUCUUUGGUCCAUUCUCCUACUGAAGCAGGUAAAUGGUGGGCAAGGGAGGGAGCAGUAGAAGGAGGGUUGAGUACAUCUGUAAGUCAAGAGUUAUAAUGUUUUCAAUCAUUACACUUUAAUAUCAAUGGUAAUUAUUUCUAAAAUUAUCAUUCUCUAAAAUCUGUGAAGAGGAAUAUUUUAAAAAUACUUAAAAGCAUUUGUGCAUAUGUACUAAUAAUAGAGAACAAUGUAAUGUGAGGGACAAAGCUGUUUUCAGAAGAGAAAAGAGAAAUGAAAUGUGGUUUGCUCCAUAGUUUUGAAAACUUGAUUGAAGUUGGGAGAUUCUGGUCCCUGGGAACUGACACAACUCUGAAAUAAGCCAUUAAUAAUGCAGCCCUCCACCCUCCCCCUAUCCUGAAUCUCUGAAUAGCCUGAAGGAAGAGAUUUUUAAGAAUAAUACCCUAGCACUUUCCACAAUGCCUGGCACAGAAUUUAUCCUCCUUAUUUUAUUUUUCUGGAGUUGGAAUAGAAGUUAAUGAAAUUUCUUGGCAAUUUGUCUUGUUAUUGAUAGAGUUACUAUCUCAGGAUCCAGGUAUCUAAGCAUUUUUUUUUUUCUGCAGUAUAUUUCGCUUUUACAUCAGAUAGUUGCUACUCACACAUUUCUCCCCUUUGGCCAAGUAUUAGUCCAUUUUUGCUGUAUAGUAAACCAUCACAAAACUUAGUGAU
rnacentral:lncRNA from 1 species